AGUGAACGCUGGCGGUAGGCCUAACACAUGCAAGUCGAACGGCAGCACAGUAAGAGCUUGCUCUUACGGGUGGCGAGUGGCGGACGGGUGAGGAAUACAUCGGAUUCUACUUUUUCGUGGGGGAUAACGUAGGGAAACUUACGCUAAUACCGCAUACGACCUACGGGUGAAAGCAGUGGAUCUUCGGACCUUGCGCGAUUGAAUGAGCCGAUGUCGGAUUAGCUAGUUGGCGGGGUAAAGGCCCACCAAGGCGACGAUCCGUAGCUGGUCUGAGAGGAUGAUCAGCCACACUGGAACUGAGACACGGUCCAGACUCCUACGGGAGGCAGCAGUGGGGAAUAUUGGACAAUGGGCGCAAGCCUGAUCCAGCCAUACCGCGUGAGUGAAGAAGGCCUUCGGGUUGUAAAGCCCUUUUGUUGGGAAAGAAAAGCAGCAGGUGAAUACCCCGCUGUUCUGACGGUACCCAAAGAAUAAGCACCGGCUAACUUCGUG
rnacentral:rRNA from 1 species